CGGCGGAGGCGCGGGCAGGCGGGCGCCCUCCCGCUUCGCCUCGGGCGGGGGUCAGCGCGGGGCGGCGCGGGGCCGCCCCUGGCUGCAGGGGAAGGCUGCGCCCCGUCCCUGCGCCCGCGGGCCGCCGGCGGGACCGCCCCGGGCAGAAAUGACAUAAAGGACAUUUUCUGGAGGAAAUAAAGGAAUGCAUCUCACACUGGCCCAGCAGAACAAAGCAGAGGCCAAACUUGAACUCAGGCCUCAAUGUAUGGGUGAUCUUUUUUCAACUGUGGUGAGAUGUUCCCUCUAACUCAUCUUAAAAUGUGGAACUGCUGUACAUUGCCUGUGGGAAAAAAGCCCAAAGCCACAUAGUGAUGUAUCUGUUCAACAGUGUGAAAGAGAAAUUCCCUAUUCACAGUCCUGCACAGUCAACAUUACCUGCUGGCCUGGAAGAUUUCUGGAAUGUCCCAGGUCAUCAAAUGCAGAAGAUGUUCUUUCUGAAGGAGAAGAUUCAGUGGGAAUCCUGUUCGGCUCACCUCCUCCUCAUCACCCAAAUGCACAGCUGAAAAAGGAACAGAAGGGAUGUGGGACAACACAUCCAGUUCCGAUGGCAUUACACAACUCACCCACCAGAAAGAGAUGGAAUUAUCUUCAUCUUCGAGGGAGCCCUGGGCCAUUGGUUUAAAGUUUGUGGGGGCUAGAGGAUAAACGAGAGUCAGGAAGCGAGAGAAACAAGAGACCUCAGCUAACUUGCAGAGGAUUAUGGAGACUUGCAGAAUGCACAGAUCCCAAUGAACAUUUCUGGAGUACAGUAAGUUAUCAGUAGAUCAAUUUCUAUAUGUUUUUCUGGACCAAGGUGAGUGGAAGGAAGCUAGAGGCCCCCAGAAAGGCACUGGAACUUACCCAUGGAGCUCUGAGCUCAUAAAUGCAUCACUUUUUGCAGCCGUGGUCCGGGAUGAGAAGCAAGCACGUAUAAGGAGGCUGAGAACUGAUUGUCAUGAGCUCUAUAAACACAUCUCUGCAGCUAGCUUACAUGCUGGAAAAGGGACUAGAGUCUGUUUCAUUUUCAAACUAUCAGUAAAAAUAAUACAUUUCGUUUAUGAGAGAAAGCAAAUUUACAGUAAUGCAAAGAAAUGGUUCAACUAAAUGCAGACAGCAGAAAAAAAGUAAAAAGCCUUUUAUACAGCUAGCCAGACUACAGCAUAAAAAUGUCUAGUGACAGCAUGUCUCAUUUCAAAAAAAAGGGACAUCAAUAAUUAGUGGGCAAAGCAUGGAAAAACAAGGACCCAUCCCAGCAUAUACUUAAAACUGGGCAGUUGAGCAACAUGAAUGGGAGCUUGGUUAUUAACCAACGUGGACAUAGCUUCAAACAUGACAAUUAUUAGAUCAGCCUGGCUAAGCAGACUCAGAGUGAGUCUGCUUGUGCCUUUUUUGGUGACUAAUAGUGACUGUCAAUUGACAGGUGGUACCUUAUAAAUCCAGUCUGUGGCUGAUCCUCUAAAGAUCUGUUUGUGUGAAGCAAGUAAUUUACCAGUGUGAACAAACUGUCCUGCAACAAUAAAUGCAGCUGAACAUUAUGUUAGUCUUCCAGCAGAAGAAACCUUUGGUGGAAAACAGUUUUUGGACAAAGUUUACAGCAGGAUCUUAUGUGUUAGGUUUUUAGCAGAUCUGAAGGAGGAAUGAAUUCUUGUACAUUUGAUAAUGUGACUAACAUGAAGCAAACAGUAAAAAGAAAAAAGUGAUACUUGUAAAACUUGAGCCACUGGAGUAAAAGAAGAGUAUAUAGGAAGAACACUAAAGGGGUGAAACUGAAGGUGAGAUGGACUUAGGGGUUUCUGUUAGAUUUUUCUGAUAUGGUACUACUCCUUUAAACAGGCAGCUGGAGGAUGGUCCAAAAGACCUUCUGGUUAAGGGUCAAGGUUUUUUCCCUGACUGAGCAAAGACCGAGGUUGCAGUGUUCCCAGCCAUCUCCACACUGUCAGCAGGAGAACCAGCACAUCAAACAGCCACCUCCUCUUUUGCCAGGAAGCAAGGAAAGAAAAGGCUACAAAGGACAUGGAAAAAACAUAUCAGAAGAGCAUAGCUGAACCUUCAGCUGUUCCUGUGCUUCAACCAUAAUUCUUGUUAGAAAAAAAAAUAAUGUCAGAAUUGGUUACUGUGUAGAAACUACCUUGAACCCUUUAAAGGGCUUUCUGUGAGUGACCAUGAAUAGAUGAUUCCCCAGACCCUGUAACAAUUUAAUCUGAUUUUUCACACUGAAUAUUAAGUCAGGAUUGUUAAUGGAAAUUGGCCGAAAAGACAAAAAAAAACAUUUUAUUGCAGACGAGGUUUGUGGAAAUUCAAUAUGAUGGCCUUUGAUUUGGUAGCAGGUAACUAUAUUUGAAAGACCACCAGAGAAGGCUUUGGUCCAGGAACUCCUCCUGGCCUGUUUACUACAGCUAGAUAAUACCCUGGGCACAUGCUAGUAUCUUUGAACAAAAUUAGAUAUAUUUACAAAUAGUCUGGGAUCAGCUCAAGGCUGCUGAUCUACUGUACCCAAAGAAAUAUUAAUUAUUUUGAAAAGAAUGAAUUUAGUUCUGGCACAUAGAACAGUGAGGAGGGAAAUUCUACUCUUAAGAUAUUUGAACACCAGCCAGUUCCACAGAGACUCACAGUUUUGUGGGACUUUAAUCCUACUAGAGGAGGCUUAUUCGUGUGUUUCACAAUAUUACAUAACAUUUGCAUAAAAAGGGUAGGAAAGGAAUGUUAUUUCAAUGGUCAGUGUGUGAUUUAGUAUUUUCAGAGAUGAAAAGAUUCUUCUGAUUUUUUCUGUGUUAACCUACCAGGGUUUCAAAUCUCCUUUUCUAUUAGACACAGAUGCCAGUGCUUAUGGAUUAAGUAUCGAUACAGGAAUGUAAAUGACUUGAGAGGAUGACAGUUUAUUAGAGUCAAUAGCUAAGCUCUCCUGGGAAAAAAUCAUUGCAUGCUCUGCCAGUGAUUAAACUAUAGAAUAUUUUCAAAACUAUCUGUAUGGAAGAAAGCUUGUGAUCAGAACAGACCAGGCACCCCAGCAGCCAUUCUUCAAAUUCAAAACCAGAGGGGCAACUUAUCCACAGAUUAGAAUAACUGAGGUGCUAUGGUUUUGUAGUAACCCGAAAGCAUGGAUUGAGGCAUAACAUUGGUUGCUAUUGAUGUUUUGUCCAGAUAGUUUCAUUACUGGAUUGAUUGCAAAUGCCAGUCUACACAAGCAAGGAACAAAGAACUGAUUGCUCAGGGGAAUGAGCAUGUUUGGAAAGAGAUGCUUGUCUCCUGUCUUCCUUCAGCUUGCAAAUCCAGUCGAACAGUGGCUAUAGGGACUCCAGAGAAACCAACCGAUUCCCACAGAGAGAACCUGAUACCAGAACAGUGUGCAUUUGGCGACAGCUAUCCUGAGAUACGAUCUCUUCUUUAAAAUACCCCAGUGAAAACUGUUCACAGUGGGACGGUUCAGGGUUUAUGGUAAAAUACUGAGGGCAAAAAGGAGCAAAUGACAAGUUUUAUUAGCUAGCUCUAGAUCCACUGGGGAAAAAAAAAGGUUGCCAGGUAAUGUCAUCAUUUAAAAACUGCUGGAUAUUUGAGGGGUUGCAAACAGUGGUGUGAUUUCUACUGGGUGAAGUACAAAAUAGAUGUAGAAAAACUGGCCAAGGAAGCUUGAGGGAUAGGAGGGAUCUUCUGUCUGCUGCUCUGUGCAGCAGUAUUUUAGGACUAUACUUACUGAGCAAAUCUUUCUGAUGUUCUUGAAUAAGGACUGGUAAAUGUUAUUUGCUUGAUGUCUUUGAACUAGUUCACAGAAUGGCCUAAAGUUUAUUUAGGAAGGCAUGAAGUGGGACAGACUGAUCAGAGAGAAUCAAUUAGGUUUAGGAUUUGGGGGUGAGUCAUACACAGGUCAGGGAAGAAAUUUUGACUCAGAAGUGUUUCUGUAGUUUAGUGAGACUAUAGGAAAUAGAUUAAAUAUGUACCAUCUCAGUGCAGCCAACUUCUGAUGAGAUGAUAGGGAAAUUCAGAGUGGAUGCUGGCAGUUCAGCAGGCUUCCUUAGCAACAUAAAGGCAAGAAUCAGCAUUUCCCAUUCCUUUGGAAAACUUAGAGCAGGCCAUGAAAACAUGGAGUUUACCCUGCUCUUCCUCACUCUUGGUUAGAGGCUAGACACUUCUCCAGAUCUUCUGUCUGGAGUUCCCUUAGAGUGACAAUGAUGUGGGUCAGGCAGAAGUUUCAGAUUCCCAGAGAAGAAACUGAAAUGUCUCACACUUGCUUGGAUGUAUCUGAAGACAACUUCUGAUAAAUAUGACUGCAUGAUCCUGAUACCUCUAGGGUGUGACCCAAGAGCACUUCCCAGCUCUUGGAUGUGGGUGCUGUCCUGGCUAUGCCAGGACAAGACCCACAGUACACCAUCCCUUCUACAUCCUCAUUUUCAUUCAAAGAUUCAAGAGAAACUUGGCCACAUGGACUAGGACAGCGCUGUGUGACUGGCGAAACCAGGACUGCCGCAUGUGCCACAAAUGAUAGUUCUUUUCAGUAAAAACAAUGCCACUGAAACAAGGAUGAUUUUUUUAGAAACAUAUCAGGCCCUGUUCACUUUCACUGCAGCUAAGGCAGUUCCUGAGUUUGUGGCAAACUUUGAAGACUACAGUGUCCUCUCCACAGAGCAAGUCACAGAUGGAACUAUUUCAAAGUGGGAAUUUGAGAGUCCCUAUCACUGCUUUGUGAAAUCAGUGCUCAUUUUAGCUGCAAUAAUCACCAAGCAGAUGAACAGUUUGGGGAACUUCCAGUUCAUGAGAAUUCCUGAAAAUAUCUCCCUUAGACUUGAUUUGGACUGAAAUGAAAUUCUAAAAGCCCCUUCAAAUUUCCCAUGGACCACAAAUCCUACUUUUUCAAUCAGAUCGAGGUGGAAACCUUAAACUGGAUAAACCUUGGAUAGGUCCCUACAUAGAGCUGAUGUGAACAGAAGAAGCAGUGUCAAAGAGGCAGUUUAGUUCCAAGACUGAACCCCAAAUUACCUGUAAUGUCCAUCUAAGAGCAUUUCCAGUGGCAAGUUUUUUCUCUUACCCUUUUUCAUCCCAAAUUGGAGAGAGUAUUUGUCAACCUUGAAAUUGCAAAAGCUGCUUCAGUAACAAAACCUCUCCAUUAGCAAACAACAUUCUGGGUGCCUCAGCUAGUAAUUCCCACUCACACAAUAGCCAUCCUUCAGGAGCCUAUUGUCAGUGAUCCCUCCAAGUAGCCUGAAAGAAAUCUGGGUAGGGAAGGAAAAACUCGAAAGAGAUGUGCAAUGAGGUAAAAUUGGUUUGGAGUAACAGAUGAAAAUAUUCUGUCAGAAAGACAUGAUACAGCUACUUAAAAUUAAAAAUUUGUAAUUAAUCUUCUAUGAAGACUAUUUUAUUUUUAUUUCCUUUUGGAGGUGGCUUUAAGGUGUCAACCUUUGAGGCUGAAUGGCAAUGAUGGGCAAAUUGAAUUACUGAGACGUGGCUAUGAACUGGCUUGAAUCGAAUCAUAAUUGUUGCCUUUCACUUCCGGAAAGUCAUAAGAAGCUGUAAAGCUGCCUCGUUGAACUGUGCAGCAGAAGUGAUGAGGACUCCAAUCCAAAACUCACCAUCCAGAACCAAAGGUGCAAAGGGCUGCUCAGGAAUUCACACUAUGUGGCCAUAGAGUCUUCAGUGGGUAUCUUCCUGAAGGGAGAGCAAUGUAUUCAUAUGAAGAACACAGAAGAGAAAGCUAAGUAUGCAAAAUGAACACGUACUGGGAGUAAGGUCCUAACAAAAAGCCAAGAAAGAGAUUUUAGGUUGAGUGCUCCGUCAGAGAUGACUGGAACUGUGAGCAGAGACACAGUCCCCUGUUAUUUGAGUCCUCUUCUGUUCAGGGAAGCAGGCUGGCAUCAGAGAAAUAGCUGACUCAUCACCAAUUUCUCCUCCUAACCAGAACAACCAGCAAAGCCCAAAUUCAUGGCUGAAUGGGAAAGAGGGGUUAUAGCAUUUAUGUAUUACUUGCCAGAAUAAUUAUGCUGGUUUAGAAAAUAGUUUUUAUCCUUUAUUCAGCACAUGGAUCCAGUUUGUCUUCUUGUCACUUGCAAAUGGACAAUGGAAAAAAAAGUACUGGCACAGGCAGAAGUGGAUCCCACACAAUAAGGUCAAGGAACCAGAACAAACACAGGGGAAAGUCCAAAGUGGGACUGUUUUUGUUUACACUGCCAAGAGAAAGCAUGAAAGAUGACACUCUUAAGCUUGGAAAAUAGGAAUCUCAUGGCAGUGAUGUUAGAAUCUCAAAAAUAAUGUGUCAAAGAUGUUGGAACAUUUAGAAUACAAUCUUUUACUGUUUCAAUGUCACCAACAUGUUGUUCUCACUAUUUUCUAUGACAAGAGAAUUUAUUGAAUCAA